CAAAUUUGAAAAAGUUCCCUUUUGGUUCCGGGCCUU
rnacentral:tRNA from 1 species